CCAUCAGAGAACUUUUCUCGAGGGCGGGGGCACUUCCCCGAUUCUCAGCCCUCUGUGUGACUGCCACAGCGUGGGAUGGAGGCCACAGAAAAGAAAGAGUUAUGAGCAGCGUGGCCAGAACCUGAAGAAGGCAGAGUAAAUCCCAGAAUUCCUCUGAGCAUCUGGCUCCCCGUCCACAUCUUCUGAGAGCCCCAAGGAUAACCCUACUUUCCUUCUGCUUCUUGUCCAGGUUUCUUGGUCCUUUUGAGGUUUCCUAAGGUCUUUGUACCCCAGAAACAAUGUUAAUGACCCUCUCAGGAAAGACCAAAGUUGACACAGGAAAGAACGGUGGAUUUCCGGGUAUACAAGAGACUAAAGAAAUCCAGGACCCCAUUGCCCAACUGUUGAACUAAGGUGUGAGCCACGCAGACGUCUGGCUAGAACUGGUAAAACAGCGACCCCGUGUGGUCAGACAGAAGCACAGCCCAGCGCCCAGAGGGAGCCUCAUGAGCCCACAGUCUUGGCGCCAGCGGAUGAGCCGUUAGAUCUGUCAGUCAGAACGUCAAAUGAGGAAGGAAACAUAGCACCUUGCAAGUGUGAGAGGAAUUACUUUCUACCUUACAAAUGGGUCUUCCCUGUCCGCAGCUCAAGAUCUGAAGGCUGGAUGGCUUGUGCUCUCAAAGCAAAAAGGACAAAAGAAGGCUGGCCACAGGGCAUGGGUAAAGUUUGAGAUGUUUGCUGUGUCACUCCUUGGGAGGUAUGGAAGAUUUACAGAAAAAUCUUGUAAUCCUUAUCUCUCAUACGUAUUCUUUUUGUUUGUUUUUAUCUCUUACAUGUUCUUUUUGGCGUGUACUUAGACUUCGAAGAACUAGGGAAAGUAUGAAGGAAGCAUUUGACAUUGUAGUUACACCACCAAAAGGAAGAUAUCUUUAAAUCAUUAACAGGAAUGGCUGACUCUUCAAAUAGAGUUCAGUGUAAAAAAAAAUUGCUACGUCUGUGGGAUGGAAUGUCAGCCAGGCGUUGUCACUGAGUCUCAUCUAGUCAUCUGCUUCUUAGCAUCCUCAUCUCCUCUGUGUCUGUCAGACACAUCAAUGGGCAUCCAUCUCAUCCCUGCAGUGAUUUAGGGAACAGGAGCCUUCCUCUUCACACUGUUGGGCUCAGGUUUUUACCUCUUUAAGAAGAGUCUCAGGACUUGUCCCAUAAUUAUGCAUUUCCACAGAUAAAAGGGCGAAUUGCCUAGGUUAUUUCAGAAAAACAAACAAACACCUAGGUAUUUCCAUGCACAACAAGCUAGAUUAUACAUGCUGUCUGAUCUGUCAUCAGGGAAAUUGAUGGAGGAAG